UUGCUAGUUGCACUCCUCUCUGU
rnacentral:miRNA from 1 species